rfam:Gossypium raimondii Chr07_contig_1371, whole genome shotgun sequence.
CGUUAAAAAAUUCAUCCAUUUCGAUUUUCUAAUGUUAAAAACUGGCGUGGUUUACGGAAUAACCAAACACGCCAUGUGUACCUUAUGCUUAUGUACAAUGACCAUUUUCAAUAGUCGAAAUGGAUGAAUUUUUUAACA